rnacentral:rRNA from 1 species
GAUGAACGCUAGCUACAGGCUUAACACAUGCCAGUCGAGGGGAAACGCCAUCGAAAGCUUGCUUUUGAUGGGCGUCGACCGGCGCACGGGUGAGUAACGCGUAUCCAACCUGCCCAUCACUUGGGAAUAACCUUGCGAAAGUAAGACUAAUACCCAAUGAUAUCCCACGAAGGCAUCGGAAUGGGAUUAAAGAUUUAUCGGUGAUGGAUGGGGAUGCGUCUGAUUAGCUUGUUGGCGGGGUAACGGCCCACCAAGGCAACGAUCAGUAGGGGUUCUGAGAGGAAGGUCCCCCACAUUGGAACUGAGACACGGUCCAAACUCCUACGGGAGGCAGCAGUGAGGAAUAUUGGUCAAUGGGCGAGAGCCUGAACCAGCCAAGUAGCGUGCAGGAAGACGGCCCUAUGGGUUGUAAACUGCUUUUAUAAGGGAAUAAAGUGGGUCACGUGUGACUUUUUGCAUGUACCUUAUGAAUAAGGACCGGCUAAUUCCGUG